rnacentral:tRNA from 1 species
GCGGUAUAGGUGAACGAGUCGGCGCCGUUGUAGUCGGCGUCCGGGCUGUACGUGAACGUGCCGUCUUGGUUCAGCGUCAGCGUGCCGUGC